UUGUCUGGGGAUGAAAAAAACAGGAAAAUGAAGUUGAAUUGGCAUAUAGUGUUUAUUAAAUACUUUGGGUGCUAAAGAAGUGCCAGCCACCUCCGUGUCCUUUUUUAACAAACCUUUCUUCAACUCACUGCAUCCUUCUGAAAACAGGCCUGUGGUAUCUCCACUGCGAUGCAUUAAACAUUGACCUCUAGAGCUGCAGCUCGAGGCUUUCACCCAAAGUGGCUCAGUGAGGCUGAGAGCCGUCAGAGGGAGGCUGAGAGGUGUCAGAGGGAGGCCGAGAGCCGACAGAGGGAGGCCGAGAGGCGUCAGAGGGAGGCCGAGAGCCGACAGAGGGAGGCCGAGAGGCGUCAGAGGGAGGCCGAGAGCCGACAGAGGGAGGCCGAGAGCCGACAGAGGGAGGCCGAGAGCCGUCAGAGGGAGGCCGAGAGGCGUCAGAGGGAGGCCGAGAGGCUCAGAGGGAGGCCGAGAGCCGACAGAGGGAGGCCGAGAGCCGUCAGAGGGAGGCCGAGAGCCGACAGAGAGAGGCUGCGAUCGAUGGCAGAGCGCCCGCUCGGCCAUCAGUGCUGCGCGGUCGAGUCUGUCCCACGAGGCCCGACGAGAGGGCGGGGGGCUGCUGAGAGUUUAACUGAUGGCCGUCUUCAGUCGAGGGUUAAC
ensembl:lncRNA